rnacentral:lncRNA from 1 species
UCUCUCUCUCUCUCUCUCUCUCUUCUCCGACGACUCAAAAGUCGCUAAGACUUCGACGAAAACCAGAUUCUCUCACACCCCAAAUCACCUCUCUGUCUCUCUAGCCGGAGGCUACGACCGCAAACCUCUCCAGCCGUGGCUCCAUCAGGUCAACAACAGCCACAAGGCCUCUCUCGGAGAAAGCACUCUUCGUCUUCUGCUUCGGCGAACCCGACUGUGAUUUCGGGCAGGACCCGAAUAGUGUACAGAGAAGCCCUAAGCCAGUUUUCGGAUU